rnacentral:lncRNA from 1 species
UGGAAUUAGUAAACUAUGAAAAUGCAACUUAGAGACAUGAUGAUAGGCCAUUGUAUAUCUGCUAUAUUCCAUGUUAGAGACAUGAUGACAUAGAGAUAAGCUAUUGAGAUACUUGAUAUAUUCCAUGUUUUAGACAUGAGGACUUGGUACUUGAGAUAGAUCAUUGCUUGCUUUCCAUUGUGCUCAUUCGCACAUGCUUGUGAGGGUCGCUCCCUACAAACUGGCACUCUGGAGAUAGCCAUCGCGACAUAUGCUCGCCCGUGCGGGAUUGGGCGCCGAAGUGGAUUGCCGUGGGGGAGGCUCAUCCCUAGAGUGGGGAUGUUGACUACCACGGGGCCAUUAGGCACGGCGCAGGCCAGACAGCCUUCGGGUGGGUCUUAUAUGAUUGGGACUUAGUGACAGAACAUGCUAUGUGAACUUUAAAACUAUUAAAGUGGACUUGGACUAGAAUAGUAAACAAUGACAUCUUUACUAUUUUUGCAUCGAGGAUGUAAUAUACCGAAAAUUCGGAAAAUAAAUGUCGAACUUUAGUCAAAUUGACCAAAGUGCAAGGACGGUACACUUCGGAAAGUCCGAAGGUGUUAAAAUGGUUAAAAGUGAGUUACGAGAGGUUUUCGAGAGCUAAAGGAUCAAAUUCUGCAAAACUGCAGAUUUUGAGCUCUCGGGGACCGGUCCCUGGUGGGAAAGACCGGUCCCCGAACGCGUAUGAAUUGAGACAGCCGAAAAAUCGGCUAAGUCCUGAGAAACCAGCUCUCGGGAACCGGUCCCUGCCUGAGAGACCGGUCCCCGAGAGACCGGUCCCCCAAAGAGAGACCGUAUGCAUCGCGCGCAGCAGCUCUGGCUGCGCUGGGACGACCUUCGGGAACCGGUCCCUGAAGGAGAGACCGGUCCCCGCCUGCGCGAACAGCCCAGUCCAGGCUGUGUGAAAGAGUGAAAGUUGAGGGGUUUAUUUGCAUUUUGGCAACCCAU